rnacentral:lncRNA from 1 species
ACACAUUUAAAGACAAAUGAAAAUAUACAUAAACUAAAAGCAGAAGGAUAUGAAAAUCUGAAUAAGACAUUAGUAAACGAAUGCAGGGAAUUAAAAGCAGAAAUGAAUAAAUUGCAAGAAGAAAAAAAGAAUUUGACAAAAUGUUUGGAAGAAUCAGAGGAGUCAUGUAAAAACAUUUCAAAUAUUUUGGUAGAAUUUAAAGAAAAAUGCUCGUCUCAAGAGUUAUUACUGUCACAACAUGAAUUUAUAAUAAAGGAUCUAAAAGCUAGUUUAGAAGUUGAAAGAGAGAUAAAUAAAGAAUUAAAUACAACUAAAAAUGAGUUACAAACAUUGGUUCAUACCAUGGACAAAGAUCGUAGAGUUCUUGAUAAUGCAAUAAAGAAAUGAAAGGAAAUAUCAGGGUAUUUUGCAAAGUCCGACUUAGCACUCCAAGUGAACUUGGAAAAGCGAUGUGUAAUAUCAACUUUAUAGAUGAAUGCAAUAUCGAAGUAGGAAAAUUUGAUGGGUCUGAUACAGUUAGUUGCAGUGGAAAAUCAAAGGGAACCAGACAAGAAUUUUCUUUCGAUGAAGUGUUCCCAGCAAUUGCUAGCCAAGAAAAUAUUUUUGAAGAAUUAGCCCUGUUAGUUGAAUCUGCUUUAGAGGGGUAUAAUGUCUGUAUAGCUGACUUAUUUAUUAAUAGUGCCUUUAAGUGGCACAUCAAAGACAUUGAUAUUACUGAAUGUAUCUCCUUUAGACAAAUAUUAUAAUGAAACAUUAAAUUUAUUGAGAUUUGCUAGUAAUGUAUACAAUUGCUAAUCCCAGAAUGGAAAAAGAAUAUGAUUAAUGUUAUUAUCCUAUGAGCAUGACUACAAAACACUAUACAAGGUUUCAACAAAUAGUAUCUCGAUUAGAUUUGAAAAUAUCUAUGUCAUACCUCUUUAAGCAUUAAUUAGACUGUUUUAUAUAAUGGACAGAUAUCGUAUUUUGUUAAAGAAAUACAAAUAAUAGUAAAGGAUUUACCAAAAGAAAUGGUUAUACAUGAUUUUAUGCGAAUAUCACUAUUAGAAACAAAUUCAAAUUUGUCCACUAUGUUGAAAAUUAAUUUUAAUGAUUUCACACAAUUAGGCAAUUUUAUUGACUUUGCAAUUGAGAAAACACGUAUUCCUGUCCAUUUACUAUUGUAAUUCCAAUUAGAAAAAUAAUAAGAGCUAUUCUCUGGUAAGAAAGUAUGUUCACAAGGAAAAAGCAAAAUUAACGGAUAUGGAUAAAUAUGUGAAUAUGUAAUAUUAUGGGAAGCUAUAUUCCAGAAAGUGUUUGAGACUGUGAAUGUUGUAAUAACAUCCUGCAGUGAUGAAGGCAUCAAAUUUACGUUGCAUACUUAAGCAUCGAAGUCCUUGGUGAUAAUAAAAGUGAUACCUAAUGUUUGGAAAUCUAUGUUACCUACCAAAAGAUGAUAGUAGAAUCAAUCUUGUUAAAUGAAUUAAAAAGUAAUUUAAAAAUGAGUUAAAUAUUUUCAA